UCGCCUGGCUCCACCCAACUGUGCCCGUUUCUAAGAAGCAUCCUUUCUCCAUCGCACCAUGUUGUGCAAGUUUGCCUACGUUGGAGGAAGUCUGGUGGUAUUCACAAACAAACAAGCACAAACACCUUCUCUGCAUGAAGAUUCUGAAGGAGCCUUGAUUAUCAUCUCUCUAAGGAGGCACUCCCCCGCCCCCUCCACCCGGCCCUGUCACUGGGAUGGCGUUCCUGAGGCUGCCCUCUCUCCUGUCCUGUGCACAGACAUUCUCAACACUCCACCAGAGGCUUCUGACCUGGAAUACGCUCUUCUCCUCCCCAGCGCCAUUGAGAUGUCAUUGACAUUUAUCU